rnacentral:rRNA from 1 species
UAGCAAUACGACGGAAAGUUCAGUGGCGAUCGGGUGCGUAACACGUGGGCAAUCUGCCUUAAAGUGUGGAAUAGCUCGGCGAAAGCCGAAUUAAUACCGCAUGUGGCUACUGGAGACAUCUUCGGGACGCUAAAGGUGGCGCAAGCUACCGCUUUUUGAGGAGCCCGCGGCCUAUCAGCUUGUUGGUGAGGUAACGGCUCACCAAGGCGUUGACGGGUAGCUGGUCUGAGAGGACGACCAGCCACACUGGGACUGAGACACGGCCCAGACACCUACGGGUGGCAGCAGUCGAGAAUUUUUGACAAUGGGGGAAACCCUGAUCGAGCGACGCCGCGUGGAGGAUGAAGGUCUUCGGGUUGUAAACUCCUGUCAUUUGGGAACAAGGCGCGGUUAUUAACUGUAGUCGCGUUGAUAGUACCAGAAGAGGAAGAGACGGCUAACUCUGUGCCAGCAGCCGCGGUAAUACAGAGGUCUCAAGCGUUGUUCGGAUUCAUUGGGCGUAAAGGGUGUGUAGGUGGCGCGCUAAGUCGGGUGUGAAAUUUCGGAGCUUAACUCCGAAACUGCAUUCGAUACUGGCGUGCUUGAGGACUGGAGAGGAGACUGGAAUUCACGGUGUAGCA